GACAGAGGGUGCAAGCGUUGUUCGGAAUUACUGGGCGUAAAGGGCGCGUAGGCGGCCUUCUAAGUCGAACGUGAAAUCCCCGGGCUCAACCCGGGAACUGCGUCCGAUACUGGAAGGCUUGAAUCCGGGAGAGGGAUGCGGAAUUCCAGGUGUAGCGGUGAAAUGCGUAGAUAUCUGGAGGAACACCGGUGGCGAAGGCGGCAUCCUGGACCAAUUCUGACGCUGAGGAGCGAAAGCCAGGGGAGCCAAACGGG
rnacentral:rRNA from 1 species